GGGAUUUGCCUAGGGUGUUACAUUGCUACUUCUGUAUUUUCUUCCAUUCUUCUCUUCACAAACUUCAAAUUGUUACGGUGCUUAUUUCUAUAGUUCAUUUCAGAAGAUAUCAAAUAGCAGAGAUUUUUCAACUCAAAUCAGGCACAAGUUCUGUAACUAAUUUCACUAAAUGACCAUAAUAAACUAGCAUUGUAUAUUAUCAGUCUCAAUUUCAAUCACUCUAUGGCAAAAAAUAAAAAGACAUUUAUGUUGCAUAUGAAAUAGCCUGGCGGCAAAAGUACAUAUAAGUUGAACAAAAAUUGAAGUUCGAGUCGCCUUCUCAUUCCUA
rnacentral:misc_RNA from 1 species